CAGCAGCCGCGGUAAUACGAGGGGGGCAAGCGUUGUUCGGAAUUAUUGGGCGUAAAGGGUGCGUAGGCGGUUUGAUAAGUCUUGUGUGAAAUCUCUGGGCUCAACCCAGAGUCUGCACAGGAAACUGUCGGGCUUGAGUAUUGGAGAGGUGAGUGGAAUUUCCGGUGUAGCGGUGAAAUGCGUAGAUAUCGGAAGGAACACCUGUGGCGAAAGCGGCUCACUGGACAAUUACUGACGCUGAUGCACGAAAGCUAGGGGAGCAAACAGGAUUAGAUACCCCGGUAGUCCCUGUCUCUUAUAC
rnacentral:rRNA from 1 species